GCGAAUAUAGUUUCAACCCAAACAUUAGACUGUGAUUCUAAAAAUAGAAGUUCAAACCUCCUUAUUCGCG
rfam:Tinamus guttatus contig42457, whole genome shotgun sequence.